CCUCUUCCCACCUCUGGCCAGCUAGGGUCUUUGUUUCCAGUUUUCCUGCGUCUGGCUCCUAGGGACUUUGUUCAGGGACAGGGACUUUUCCCACCUCUGGCCCUUGGAAGCAGAGGCUCAGUUACUCAGGAUUUUAAUACAGUAGCCAAUCGUUAAACAUUCAAAAAUCAAUUAAUCCAGAGAAAAUUUGAAAAACCCUCUCACUGAACAAGAACAAGAAUGGGGAAAGAAUAAUUCAGGGGUAUAAUCCCCAGCCUCCAAGCCUCCAGCAGCACCCUCCACCCUCUGAGUCCCCUUCCAUGGUGUCCAAGCUGUCCUUUCACUCUGCCUAAUAAAACACACUACCGCACAUUCUUUGGGUCCAUGAGUUCUAUCUGAGCUGUAACACUCACUGUGAUACUGAAGCCCCCUUUCCCAUUCUUCAGACUUGGAGAGGACAAGAACCUGAAGCUAAUCUGGUUACAUCUGUUGGCAAGCCAGCCAGGAGCAACUCCAAACGCCAGCAUGAUAGGUGCUACUCUUCCCAAGACAGAGUCACCCUUAAAGUGCAUCCGGGAUUAUUGGGACCGAUUCGACCCAUAAUCUUUGAGGAAGAAGUGGCUUAUCUUUUUC
rnacentral:lncRNA from 13 species